GUCGUGAGAUGUUGGGUUAAGUCCCGCAACGAGCGCAACCCUUGUCCCUAGUUGCUACGCAAGGGCACUCUAGGGAGACUGCCGGUGACAAACCGGAGGAAGGUGGGGAUGACGUCAAGUCCUCAUGGCCCUUAUGGGUAGGGCUUCACACGUCAUACAAUGGCCGGUACAGAGGGUUGCCAAAGCGCGAGCUGGAGCCAAUCCCAGAAAGCCGGUCGUAGUCCGGAUUGCAGUCUGCAACUCGACUGCAUGAAGUCGGAAUCGCUAGUAAUCGCGGAUCAGCAUGUCGCGGUGAAUACGUUCCCGGGUCUUGUACACACCGCCCGUCACACCAUGGGAGCGGGAUGUACCAGAAGUAGGUAGGCUAACCGCAAGGAGGCCGCUUACCACGGUGCGUUUCGUGACUGGGGUGAAGUCGUAACAAGGUAGCCGUAUCGGAAGGUGCGGCUGGAUCACCUCCUUUCUCGAGAUCAGGUGACAGGUCACAGGCAACAGGGGUCACAACCUGUUGUGCUGGCCGGUUGCCCCCUGGCUGUCCGAGUGCCCACGCUUAUCGGUUGUUUGCUGAUUGCUAGCCUGAAGGCCGGGUCUGUAGCUCAGCUGGUUAGAGCACCGUCUUGAUAAGGCGGGGGUCGAUGGUUCGAACCCAUCCAGACCCACCAGAUCGAGUAUGUCAGGACGGGGCUGUAGCUCAGUUGGGAGAGCACCUGCUUUGCAAGCAGGGGGUCGUCGGUUCGAUCCCGUCCAGCUCCACCAGCUAGCGGCUGGUGACUAGAGACUAGAAGGAACGGGACUAGAAGCCAUAGCUAAGCGAGUGCGUUUAGCUCUGGUUUUUACCAGUGCCCUGCUGAAGCAGUUGUUCAGGGGGACGAUCUUUAACAAUACGGAAGAAGUAAAGCGAUCUUGCUCGGGAGAGCGGGUGGGUGCGUAAGCGCUCGACCGUGGACCGGGUGAGAUCUGGGUUAGAUUGUAUCGAGCUUUGUUGUGGCCUAGUCCGCUGCAAUGGAGCCAAACGCAAACACCUGUAAUGCGAGGCGUGCAAGCGCGUAGCGUUAUGGGGUCAAGCGACUAAGUGCAUGUGGUGGAUGCCUUGGCGAUCACAGGCGAUGAAGGACGUGGCAGCCUGCGUAAAGCUCCGGGGAGCUGGCAAACGAGCAUUGAUCCGGAGAUGU
rnacentral:sRNA from 1 species